rnacentral:tRNA from 2 species
UCUUGCAAUUGGGUCGUUGCGAUUACGGGUUGGCUGUCCUCCAGCCCGUGAACUUAGCGGAUACUAUGAUAGC